rnacentral:rRNA from 1 species
GGGCUCGCACAAGUGGUGGAGCAUGCGGUUUAAUUCGAUGCUACGCGAAAAACCUUACCAACCCUUGACAUGGUAGUCGCGGAUCACAGAGAUGAGAUCCUUCAGUUCGGCUGGACUACACACAGGUGUUGCAUGGCUGUCGUCAGCUCGUGUCGUGAGAUGUUGGGUUAAGUCCCGCAACGAGCGAAACCCUCAUCCUUAUUUGCUAGCGGUUCGGCCGGGGACUAUAAGGAAACUGCCGGUGAUAAGCCGGAGGAAGGUGGGGAUGAUGUCAAGUCAUCAUGGCCCUUAUGGGUUGGGCUACACGCGUGCUACAAUGGUAUCUACAGAGGGAAGCAAGAUGGCGACAUGGAGCAAAUCCUCAAAAGAUAUCUCAGUUCGGAUUGGUCUCUGCAACUCGAGACCAUGAAGUCGGAAUCACUAGUAAUCG